rnacentral:rRNA from 1 species
GACGAACGCUGGCGGCGUGCUUAACACAUGCAAGUCGAACGGAAAGGCCCUGCUUUUGUGGGGUGCUCGAGUGGCGAACGGGUGAGUAACACGUGAGUAACCUGCCCUUGACUUUGGGAUAACUUCAGGAAACUGGGGCUAAUACCGGAUAGGAGCUCCUGCUGCAUGGUGGGGGUUGGAAAGUUUCGGCGGUUGGGGAUGGACUCGCGGCUUAUCAGCUUGUUGGUGGGGUAGUGGCUUACCAAGGCUUUGACGGGUAGCCGGCCUGAGAGGGUGACCGGCCACAUUGGGACUGAGAUACGGCCCAGACUCCUACGGGAGGCAGCAGUGGGGAAUAUUGCACAAUGGGCGGAAGCCUGAUGCAGCAACGCCGCGUGCGGGAUGACGGCCUUCGGGUUGUAAACCGCUUUCGCCUGUGACGAAGCGUGAGUGACGGUAAUGGGUAAAGAAGCACCGGCUAACUACGUGCCAGCAGCCGCGGUGAUACGUAGGGUGCGAGCGUUGUCCGGAUUUAUUGGGCGUAAAGGGCUCGUAGGUGGUUGAUCGCGUCGGAAGUGUAAUCUUGGGGCUUAACCCUGAGCGUGCUUUCGAUACGGGUUGACUUGAGGAAGGUAGGGGAGAAUGGAAUUCCUGGUGGAGCGGUGGAAUGCGCAGAUAUCAGGAGGAACACCAGUGGCGAAGGCGGUUCUCUGGGCCUUUCCUGACGCUGAGGAGCGAAAGCGUGGGGAGCGAACAGGCUUAGAUACCCUGGUAGUCCACGCUGUAAACGGUGGGUACUAGGUGUGGGGUCCAUUCCACGGGUUCCGUGCCGUAGCUAACGCUUUAAGUACCCCGCCUGGGGAGUACGGCCGCAAGGCCAAAACUCAAAGGAAUUGACGGGGCCCCGCACAAGCGGCGGAGCAUGCGGAUUAAUUCGAUGCAACGCGUAGAACCUUACCUGGGUUUGACAUGGAUCGGGAGUGCUCAGAGAUGGGUGUGCCUCUUUUGGGGUCGGUUCACAGGUGGUGCAUGGCUGUCGUCAGCUCGUGUCGUGAGAUGUUGGGUUAAGUCCCGCAACGAGCGCAACCCUUGUUCACUGUUGCCAGCACGUUAUGGUGGGGACUCAGUGGAGACCGCCGGGGUCAACUCGGAGGAAGGUGGGGAUGACGUCAAGUCAUCAUGCCCCUUAUGUCCAGGGCUUCACGCAUGCUACAAUGGCUGGUACAGAGAGUGGCGAGCCUGUGAGGGUGAGCGAAUCUCGGAAAGCCGGUCUCAGUUCGGAUUGGGGUCUGCAACUCGACCUCAUGAAGUCGGAGUCGCUAGUAAUCGCAGAUCAGCAACGCUGCGGUGAAUACGUUCCCGGGGCU